CCGCGGUGAUACGGGGGGGGCAAGCGUUGUUCGGAAUUACUGGGCGUAAAGGGCGCGCAGGCGGUUCUGGAAGUCAUGGGUGAAAGCCCCGGGCUCAACCCGGGAAUGGCCUGUGAAACCACAGGACUGGAGUGCUGGAGAGGGAAGCGGAAUUCCCAGUGUAGCGGUGAAAUGCGUAGAUAUUGGGAGGAACAUCGGUGGCGAAGGCGGCUUCCUGGACAGACACUGACGCUGAGGCGCGAAAGCCAGGGGAGCGAACGGGAUUAGAUACCCCGGUAGUCCUGGCUGUAAACGAUGAAUACUUGGUGUAGGGGGUAGGAAAGUCCCUCUGUACCGGAGAGAACUCGAUAAGUAUUCCGCCUGGGGAGUACGGCCGCAAGGCUGAAACUCAAAGGAAUUGACGGGGGCCCGCACAGGCGGUGGAGCAUGUGGUUUAAUUCGACGCAACGCGAAGAACCUUACCGGGGUUUGAACUUGGCCGGCGACCUCUGGAGACAGGGGGUUCCUUUCGGGGACUGGUCAAGAGGUGCUGCGUGGCUGUCGUCAGCUCGUGUCGUGAGAUGUUGGGUUAAGUCCCGCAACGAGCGCAACCCUUGUUUGUAGUUGCCAUCAGGUGAAGCUGGGCACUCUACGGAGACUGUCGGCGAGAAGCCGGAAGAAGGUGGGGAUGACGUCAAGUCCUCAUGGCCUUUAUGUCCCGGGCUACACACGUGCUACAAUGGGCGGAACAGAGGGCAGCGACCCUGCGAAGGCAAGCGAAUCCCAGAAAUCCGCUCUCAGUUCGGAUUGCAGUCUGCAACUCGACUGCAUGAAGUUGGAAUCGCUAGUAAUCGCGGAUCAGAACGCCGCGGUGAAUACGUUCCCGGGCCUUGUACACACCGCCCGUCACAUCACGAAAGUGGGUUGUACUAGAAGCCGCCGGCCUAACCUUCGGGAGGGAGGCGUCGACGGUAUGGCUCAUGAUUGGGGUGAAGUCGUAACAAGG
rnacentral:rRNA from 1 species